rnacentral:rRNA from 1 species
CAAUAGCGUAUAUUAAAGUUGCUGCAGUUAAAAAGCUCGUAGUUGCAUUUCCGAGGCAAGGGAUUAGUCCGACCUUUGGUGGGUAUUUAAUCCUCUUGCCUCGUCCUUGAGUGGUGCUUCUUGGUAUUAAGUUAUCGAGGAGAUAGCCGCUCAUCGUUUACUGUGAGAAAAUUAGAGUGUUCAAAGCAGGCUUAUGCCGUUGAAUAUAUUAGCAUGGAAUAAUAAGAUAGGACCUCGGUACCAUUUUGUUGGUUUGAGAACCAAGGUAAUGAUGAAUAGGGACAGUUGGGGGUAUUCGUAUUCAGUUGUCAGAGGUGAAAUUCUUAGAUUUACGGAAGACGAACUACUGCGAAAGCAUUUACCAAGGAUGUUUUCAUUAA